rnacentral:lncRNA from 1 species
GCCCCCUCACUCCUGAUAUGGUGUGUGUUCCAGGAAAGAGGACGGGCGCUGAGACUAAACACAAAAAUCAAAAUGGAUUUUACUCCGCCUUCAGUAAACAGCAUGGCACAAAAGUCCAUUGUGCUAUGAGAUAACUGGUGCUACUAUGACUGAUGGCCUGGUUGAGCUGUUGCAUGGCUGACAACGACACAAAAUUUCAGAAGCAAUGUUUAUCUUCCUGUUCUCCAAUAGUCAGAGAUUUUCUGCUGCUUCUUAUCAUCAUGGGCAUUCCCUCGUGCAAAUGUAGAAGAAUGCAGCACCUAGGAACCAGAAGCACAGUCUGAAACCACAUGCACAAAGCCUGCAUGCUGAGGAAAGGGAAGAGAAGCAGCAACUUGAACCAUCCCCGAAGCCACAGUGGAGAUGCUGGGCUAGCUCAUCUCUGUAUUGCUUGGAACGUUAAGCCAUUAUAUUAUAUAUAUAAUAUGUAAUAUAUAUAUUUAUAUUAUAGCCAUUUGGCUUUUUUGCCAACUAGAGUCAAAAGUUAACUAACUGAAACUAAUUAAAUUAUUUAUAACAUACUCUUGAAAAAAAAAAAAAAAA